rnacentral:rRNA from 1 species
AUGUGUGUCCCAAAGGAUAGAGGUGGCAUGGAUUUUCGUGAUAUGCACAGUUUUAAUCUGGCAAUGCUUGCUAAACAAUGUUGGAGGCUCAUUGAGCAUCAUGAUUGUGUAAGAGUGCUUCGAUCAAAGUACUCCCCCUCUGAUGAGUUGCUCAAUUGUGAGUUAAAAAAGGGUUCAUCUUAUGUCUAGCAGAGCAUUUGGCUGGAGUUCAUACCUUUUAAAGAGGGAGUACUUGGGGAAUUGGUAAUGGCUUGA